rnacentral:rRNA from 1 species
GACGAACGCUGGCGGCGUGCUUAACACAUGCAAGUCGAACGGUAAGGCCCUUCGGGGUACACGAGUGGCGAACGGGUGAGUAACACGUGGGUGAUCUGCCCUGCACUUCGGGAUAAGCCUGGGAAACUGGGUCUAAUACCGGAUAGGACCACUGCCUGCAUGGGUGGUGGUGGAAAGCUUUUGCGGUGUGGGAUGGGCCCGCGGCCUAUCAGCUUGUUGGUGGGGUGAUGGCCUACCAAGGCGACGACGGGUAGCCGGCCUGAGAGGGUGACCGGCCACACUGGGACUGAGAUACGGCCCAGACUCCUACGGGAGGCAGCAGUGGGGAAUAUUGCACAAUGGGCGCAAGCCUGAUGCAGCGACGCCGCGUGAGGGAUGACGGCCUUCGGGUUGUAAACCCCUUUUAAAUAGGAAGAUUAUGACGGUACUAUUUGAAUAAGCAUCGGCUAACUACGUGCCAGCCGCCGCAGUAA